CCCUGCUUUCUCUUGCUUCUGCUUCCCUGACACCUUUUCUGACUGGGAGCAGGAGCUGAGAGAAGGGAGAAGAAAACUGUGUCACUUCCAGCUCUUUCCUUCACUGUCUGACCAGCUGCUGCUCUCAAUCCCAGUUGAUGGCUGGAGGUAACAGGAAAGAACACAGGAGAAUGAGAAGACUGGGACCAGGGUGAAACCUGAGAGGGUUCCAGUGUGGACACUGGUGCAGAUCCUUCUCCUGACGUGAUGAAAAGAACAAGAAGAAUGUCACACCCACACCUCUGGCUGUUGAUCAAACGGAGAAAUGCAGAGAAGGCUGAUCAAGGAAAGGAGAACAGAUUUCAUGAGAGGAAAAUGGACAGAGAAUGUCUUUGAAACUCUACAGUCCUGCUCUUGCUCAAACAGCAGGUGUGUGGUUUAAUCCAAG